AUCGAACGCUGGCGGCAGGCCUAACACAUGCAAGUCGAACGAGUGGCGGACGGGUGAGUAAUGUCUGGGAAACUGCCUGAUGGAGGGGGAUAACUACUGGAAACGGUAGCUAAUACCGCAUACCAUCAGUGGUGCCCAGAUGGGAUUAGCUAGUUGGUGGGGUAACGGCUCACAAAGGCGACGAUCCCUAGCUGGUCGGAGAGGAUGACCGGCAACACUGGAACGGGGACACGGUCCGGACUCCUACGGGAGCAAGCAGUGGGGAAUAUUGCACAAGGGGGGAAGUCCUGAGGCAGCCAUGCCGCGGGGAUAAAAAAGGCCUUCGGGUUGUAAAGUACUUUCAGCGGGGAGGCGUUACCCGAAGAGGAAGCACCGGCUAACUCCGUGCCAGCAGCCGCGGUAAUUC
rnacentral:rRNA from 1 species